CCUACGGGAGGCAGCAGUGGGGGAUAUUGCACAAUGGGGGAAACCCUGAUGCAGCGACGCCGCGUGGGUGAAGAAGCGCCUCGGCGCGUAAAGCCCUGUCAGCAGGGAAGAAAAUGACGGUACCUGAAGAAGAAGCCCCGGCUAACUACGUGCCAGCAGCCGCGGUAAUACGUAGGGGGCAAGCGUUAUCCGGAUUUACUGGGGGUAAAGGGGGCGCAGACGGCGAUGCAAGCCAGGAGUGAAAGCCCGGGGCCCAACCCCGGGACUGCUCUUGGAACUGCGGGGCUAGAGUGCAGGCGGGGCAGGCGGAAGUCCUGGUGUAGGGGUGAAAUGCGUAGAUAUCAGGAGGAACACCGGUGGCGAAGGCGGCCUGCUGGACUGCAACUGACGUUGAGGCCCGAAAGCGUGGGGAGCAAACAGGAUUAGAUACCCCUGUAGUC
rnacentral:rRNA from 1 species